UCCUUGCAUUAGGGAUAAAAGAGGC
rnacentral:piRNA from 1 species